UUAACUCAGUGGUAGAGUAACGCCAUGGUAAGGCGUAAGUCAUCGGUUCAAAUCCGAUAGGGGGCU
rnacentral:tRNA from 1 species